UUGCGGUUAAAAAGCUCGUAGUUGGAUUUCUGUUGAGAGCAGCGCGUCUACCUUUUGGGUAAGUAUGUUGCUUGGUCUCGGCAUCUUUUCGAAAAACGUUUCUGCGCUUGAUUGCGUGGGGCGGAGUUCGGAACCUUUACUUUGAGGAAAUUAGAGUGUUCACGGCAGGCAUACGCCCUGAAUAUAUUAGCAUGGAAUAAUAAUGUAGGACUUCGGUUUUAUUUUGUUGGUUUCUAGAGCUGAAGUAAUGAUUAAUAGGGACAAUUGGGGGCAUUCGUAUUAACGCGUCAGAGGUGAAAUUCUUGGAUUGCGUUACGACGAACUACUGCGAAAGCAUUUGCCAAGGAUGUUUUCAUUGAUUAAGAACGAAAGUAAGGGGAUCGAAGAUGAUUAGAUACCGUCGUAGUCUUACCAUAAACUAUGCCAACUAGAGAUGGGGCGUCGUUCUACUUUGACUCGCUCCGCACCUCAUGAGAAAUCAAAGUUUUUGGGUUCCGGGGGGAGUAUGGUCGCAAAGGCUGAAACUUAAAGGAAUUGACGGAAGGGCACCACCAGGAGUGGGGCCUGCGGCUUAAUUUGA
rnacentral:rRNA from 1 species